rnacentral:lncRNA from 1 species
UUCCUCUUCCUAAUGUGUGUGGGAUUGGCUAAAGUUGACUCAAAAUAUUUCCCAUGUGCCUACACAUCACACACCAUAGUCUGUUAUGUCACACCAUAACUACACACUAAUACUAAUAAAAAUACUAAUAAAUGUUAGUAAUGCUACUUGCUACCACACGCAAACUCUGCUUGUACAUUUAAAGUGGAUAAGUCAAAGUCCCAGUUGUUAAAGGACGCACCAAAGAUGCUGACUCUGUGGUAAAAAUAUACCUGAAGGUGUGAGUAUGAGGUGGUUAGGUUCUUGAUGAAACUUUUCAGGAAAGGUAACUUCUUAGUAAUCGAUAGAGUUCAACUAGUGGAACGUAAUAAUCGUCUCGCCUUAUUUGGUGCUUUCCCCCUGUGACGUAGUCAUGGGUGAGUUGUAUAAGUACCAACAGUAGUAAGAUUAUCUAGGGAAUUUACCUUAUUCUACUCAAGCUGACACUGCUAGCUCCGGAGCUCUUUGAAAGACAUGAAGAACUUUGGUAUCGAGUGUCUUACACUGUUGAUGGUAGCUGUGAUGGUCUAUGCAGCACCAACCAACCCGUGUGAAGACAAAAGGCUGAAGCUGAAGCAAAUUAGAGAAAAUGCCAACAGGGCAAAAGAUAAUCUGCCUGACUUAACUGUGCCUAAGAUAGACAAAUGUGUGGAAAAGUUCUUCUGCUUAGCCGACAAGGCGCUGACCAAAACUAUGGAAAAUUAUUCAAAUCAGAAUCUAACAAAACUCGAGCAUUCCCUGCAUGUGUACAGCAAGGAUGAAAACUGUCAUCUGCACACGCAAAGCCAAUUUAAUAUAAAAAAGUUUCUGGAUGAAAUUGUGCGUUGUGUUGACGUCGCCUUGAACAACAAGAGCAUCAUAUGUCCCCAUCAUAUUAAAUGAAGAAUUGUCCUCAAGUUUAUUGCAACUGUAAAUAUAUUUAUGGACUUAUUUAAUGACAUAUUUAUUACUUUUUUCACAUUUUCUAUUUAUAUACAAAUAAAUUAAAACAAAAAAGGUGCACUUGUCAUUGCUUUCAUUUUUACACCUAUUGACGUGUGUGCUUGUGUGUGUUUGUGUGUGUGUUAGUGUAUUUAUUACUCAUUACUGCCAUCAGUGUGUAACGUUUAUGGGAUAAUUAUGAACUUCAGCCAGGUAUGUUCAUGAAUUAGACUUGUGAUCACUGGAUUUAUAGCCUAUCUUAAUCCCUUUAUUUAAAAUUAAAUUAAUGUGCGCAUCAGUCUCAUGCUUAUUACCAAUAUAAAUGAUGAAAUUAUUAAAUGUUUUUUAAAACAUGUCAUUGAUAAAUAAACAAACAGGGCCUCCCUGAGUAGAGCGUAGGCUUCUAUGUCUGCCUGAGAAAGCGGUCUUUUGAUGAUGACCACUUCCCACGCAGGAAAGCAGAAAU